rnacentral:rRNA from 1 species
GACGAACGCUGGCGGCGUGCCUAAUACAUGCAAGUCGAGCGGACUGAAUGGGAGCUUGCUCUUGUUCGGUCAGCGGCGGACGGGUGAGUAACACGUGGGCAACCUGCCCGCAAGACCGGGAUAACUCCGGGAAACCGGAGCUAAUACCGGAUAACACCGAAGACCGCAUGGUCUUUGGUUGAAAGGCGGCGCAAGCUGCCACUUGCGGAUGGGCCCGCGGCGCAUUAGCUAGUUGGUGAGGUAACGGCUCACCAAGGCGAUGAUGCGUAGCCGGCCUGAGAGGGUGACCGGCCACACUGGGACUGAGACACGGCCCAGACUCCUACGGGAGGCAGCAGUAGGGAAUCUUCCGCAAUGGGCGAAAGCCUGACGGAGCGACGCCGCGUGAGCGAAGAAGGCCUUCGGGUCGUAAAGCUCUGUUGUGAGGGACGAAGGAGCGCCGUUUGAAGAAGGCGGCGCGGUGACGGUACCUCACGAGGAAGCCCCGGCUAACUACGUG